GGUUAUGGCUCAGUGGUAGAGUACUCGCCCAGUAUGUGUGAAGCCCUGGGUUCAAUCCUCAGCACCA
rnacentral:tRNA from 1 species